rnacentral:rRNA from 1 species
UACAGAGGAGCCAAGCGUUGUCCGGAUUGACUGGGCGUAAAGCGCACGCAGGCGGACGCGCGCGUGGGGUGUGAAAUCUGGCCGCUUAACGGCCAGGCGCCAUCCCAUACGGCGCGUCUGGAGUGAUGCAGAGGUCGGUGGAAUUGCCGGUGUAGUGGUGAAAUGCGUAGAUAUCAGGAGGAACACCGGUGGUGUAGACGGCUUUCUGGACCGUAACUGACGCUGAGACACGAAAGCGUGGGUAGCAAACAGG